rnacentral:rRNA from 1 species
CCUAUUAUUUAAGAGCUUAACAUUGUAAGUAAAUAAUAAUUAUGAAAGCAAAAAAUUAUGGCGGUAUUUUAAGCUUUUCAGAGGAAUUUGCUCUUUAAUGGAUAAAACACCAAAAUCUUACUUAGAUUUGUGAUUUCAAUUUGUAUACCACUAUUAAAACAAUUUAUAACUUUAAUUGUUUAAAUUUAUAAAACUAAAAUAUAUUAAGUCAAGGUGCAGUAAAAAUUUAAGGAUGAAGUGAAUUACAUUACUUUUUAGUGAGAUAAAUUUAUAACAAUAUCUAGGAUUUGAAAGUAAAAUUAAAAUAGGAUGUUAAUU